rnacentral:misc_RNA from 1 species
UUUUUUUUUUUUUUUCAAUACUUAAAAAACCUGCUAUUCUAAUAAAUAAGCUGUUUCCUCAAUAUUUCCAGAGGUAUGUGCUCCACUUACUCAUCUUUCUUCCUCUUCACACAGAAAUAUAUACACAAGCAAAAUUUGUAUGUAAGUACAUAAAUGUAAUGUGUGUGUGCAGAUCGUAAGCCCAAAGAAUGCCCCUUUAUGCACAGAUCAAGUUCCAAAUCCAUACAAUGCAAAAUGCAUUGAAUUAAGUUUGUUCACCUGUUCGUUAGAGAAGACAAAUAAUGCAGUCAACUACCAUAUCAGCAACAAAUUAAUAUAACUAUUUAAUUCUAUGCGAGUGUGACUAGUCCCAGAAAGAAAAAUGUCGCAACGUAUUUUGCGGUUGCCAGGCAAUUCACACCGAAGUGGAAAGGUGAGGAGUCGCCACUCUAAUUUUUGCAGGAAAAAUAGAGAAAACCUUUUAU